rnacentral:rRNA from 1 species
GAUGAGCAUGCGUCCCAUUAGCUUGUUGGUAAGGUAACGGCUUACCAAGGCAACGAUGGGUAGGGGUCCUGAGAGGGAGAUCCCCCACACUGGUACUGAGACACGGACCAGACUCCUACGGGAGGCAGCAGUGAGGAAUAUUGGUCAAUGGGCGCAAGCCUGAACCAGCCAUGCCGCGUGCAGGAUGAAGCAUCUAUGGUGUGUAAACUGCUUUUGUACGAGAAGAAACACUGCUACGUGUAGCAGCUUGACGGUAUCGUAAGAAUAAGGACCGGCUAACUCCGUGCCAGCAGCCGCGGUAAUACGGAGGGUCCAAGCGUUAUCCGGAAUCAUUGGGUUUAAAGGGUCCGUAGGCGGUUUUGUAAGUCAGUGGCGAAAGCCCAUCGCUCAACGGUGGAACGGCCAUUGAUACUGCAAGACUUGAAUUAUUGGGAAGUAACUAGAAUAUGUAGUGUAGCGGUGAAAUGCUUAGAGAUUACAUGGAAUACCAAUUGCGAAGGCAGGUUACUACCAAUA